rnacentral:rRNA from 1 species
UGGGGAAUAUUGCACAAUGGGCGCAAGCCUGAUGCAGCCAUGCCGCGUGUGUGAAGAAGGCCUUCGGGUUGUAAAGUACUUUCAGUCGGGAGGAAGGUGGUAAGGUUAAUAACCUUGGCAAUUGACGUUACCGACAGAAGAAGCACCGGCUAACUCCGUGCCAGCAGCCGCGGUAAUACGGAGGGUGCAAGCGUUAAUCGGAAUUACUGGGCGUAAAGCGCACGCAGGCGGUUUGUUAAGUCAGAUGUGAAAUCCCCGGGCUCAACCUGGGAACUGCAUCUGAUACUGGCAAGCUUGAGUCUCGUAGAGGGGGGUAGAAUUCCAGGUGUAGCGGUGAAAUGCGUAGAGAUCUGGAGGAAUACCGGUGGCGAAGGCGGCCCCCUGGACGAAGACUGACGCUCAGGUGCGAAAGCGUGGGGAGCAAACAGG